rnacentral:rRNA from 1 species
CAAGUAGGUGGUUUGAUAAGUGAGGGGUGAAAUCUUCCGACUCAAUCGGAAAAUGGCCUUUCAAACUGUCAGACUUGAGGUAGGAAGAGGAAAGUGGAAUUCUCGGUGUAAGGGUGAAAUCUGUGGAUAUCGAGAAGAACACCAGCGGCGAAGGCGACUUUCUGGUCCUAUCCUGACACUGAAUUGCGAAAGCUAGGGGAGCAAACAGGAUUAGAUACCCUGGUAGUCC